rnacentral:rRNA from 1 species
CCUACGAGCGGCAGCAGUGGGGAAUAUUGGACAAUGGGGGGAACCCUGAUCCAGCCAUGCCGCGUGUGUGAAGAAGGCCCUCGGGUUGUAAAGCACUUUCAGUGAGGAAGAACGCCUGGUGGUUAAUACCCAUCAGGAAAGACAUCACUCACAGAAGAAGCACCGGCUAACUCCGUGCCAGCAGCCGCGGUAAUACGGAGGGUGCGAGCGUUAAUCGGAAUUACUGGGCGUAAAGCGCGCGUAGGUGGCUUGAUAAGCCGGUUGUGAAAGCCCCGGGCUCAACCUGGGAACGGCAUCCGGAACUGUCAAGCUAGAGUGCAGGAGAGGAAGGUAGAAUUCCCGGUGUAGCGGUGAAAUGCGUAGAGAUCGGGAGGAAUACCAGUGGCGAAGGCGGCCUUCUGGACUGACACUGACACUGAGGUGCGAAAGCGUGGGUAGCAAACAGGAUUAGAUACCCUAGUAGUC